AUAUAACAAAUGAAACAUUGAUACCAAAUUCAUGAAUGUGGGAUGACUAACUACCGUGACACGUCUUAUAGCAAUGCGAUUUUAUACUCAGCAAAAACAGUCACAAUAGGGAAUAAGUGAGAUCUGACGACGUAAUUGUAAAUAACAAUCAUUAUUAUACGUGGCAAAAAUAUCAUUAGUUAGUAUAGACAAAUACAUAAACGAAAUGGUAAAUGUUUUUGAAUUUUGUAACUAUUUUUUGAGCAUGCGCAAACCCCAAACAAGUCAAAUAUUCAUUUAUAUAAUAUAUCUCUCAUGUAAGGAAGGAACCCACCGAACCUCAUAUGUUUUUUACCAAAAGAAUGACAAAGAAAAACAGUUUUCCAGAAAAAUAGGUAUUUUCGAGCUUUGAAUUUGAAGCCAUUUUGAAAAGGCCGUGGCCAUCUUGAAAAAAUGAUUUUUUUUUGUUGGCCAGCAGCGGAUUUUUUUUUAGUAUCAUAUAGUCGUCCUUUAUACCAAAUUUCAUGCUUGUAUCAUCAUUUGCACAAUUCCCUCGAUUUUGCUUGCUAAUAUCUUCCACUAU
rnacentral:lncRNA from 1 species